rnacentral:rRNA from 1 species
UACGUAGGGGGCUAGCGUUGUCCGGAUUUAUUGGGCGUAAAGAGCGUGUAGGCGGCCAGGUAGGUCUGGUGCGAAAACUGGAGGCUCAACCUUCAGAGGUCGACCGAAACCCCCUGGCUAGAGUCCGGGAGAGGAGAGUGGAAUUCCUGGUGUAGCGGUGGAAUGCGUAGAUACCAGGAGGAACACCGAUGGCGAAGGCAGGUUCUUGGACAGAAGGUGACGCUGAGGCGCGAAAGUGUGGGGAGCAAACCGG